UUUUAUGAGAGUUUGAUCCUGGCUCAGGAUGAACGCUGGCGGCGUGCCUAACACAUGCAAGUCGAGCGAUUUACUUCGGUAAAGAGCGGCGGACGG
rnacentral:rRNA from 1 species